UGAGCGCCGGACUCCACAGUCAUGGCCGAGAAGCAGACCAUUUUGGGGCUGGGCAUCAAGCCCGUGCCCAUGAAGCUGUUUGCCACAUGGGAAGUGGACAGGACACCGUCCAACUGUAUUCCAAGGUGAGUUACGCGGAGAGACGCCCCCUGACACCUGAGCCGCGGUAGGAUGGGGGAACAGGAGGAGGAGGAAGAGGAGGAGGAGGGUAGGUAUGUGCAUGAAGAGGACAGAGAGGGGAAAUGAAAGGAGGGAGAAUAGAGAGAAUGAGGUUCUCGAGAAAGGUCAGCCUUGUUCAGUAGCAAGAGAGAGAGAGAGAGAGAGAGAGAGAGAGAGAGAGAGAGAGAGAGAGAGAGAGAGAGAGAGAGUGUAAAGUGUAGACUCAAAACUGUUCUAAUCUUUCAAAUAUAACGUCACCUGUGUUAAAUUUCUCCCUCAAUUCAAAUUCUCAGUUUUCUUGUAUUAUUUCUGUGUUGUUACUUUUCUAUUAUGCCGUUGUUCUUUUCCUAGUUCUGUAUUGUACCUUAUUCCGUUCGUCACAACAUCUGUACCACACACACACACACACACACACACACACACACACACACACACACACACACACACACACACACACACACACACACACACACACACACACUUGUAUCAGGGCACACUUGUAGGAAAGAAACAGGUGUGCACACGUCAAUGUAUAGUGUUUGGUGCAUUUGGUGUACACACACACACACACACACACACACACACACACACACACACACACACACACA
rnacentral:misc_RNA from 1 species